ACUCCUACGGGAGGCAGCAGUGGGGAAUAUUGCACAAUGGGCGCAAGCCUGAUGCAGCCAUGCCGCGUGUAUGAAGAAGGCCUUCGGGUUGUAAAGUACUUUCAGCAGUGAGGAAGGCGGGUACGUUAAUAGCGUGCUCGUUUGACGUUAGCUGCAGAAGAAGCACCGGCUAACUCCGUGCCAGCAGCCGCGGUAAUACGGAGGGGGUUAGCGUUGUUCGGAAUUACUGGGCGUAAAGCGCACGUAGGCGGACUAUUAAGUUAGAGGUGAAAUCCCAGGGCUCAACCCUGGAACUGCCUUUAAUACUGGUAGUCUUGAGUUCGAGAGAGGUGAGUGGAAUUCCGAGUGUAGAGGUGAAAUUCGUAGAUAUUCGGAGGAACACCAGUGGCGAAGGCGGCUCACUGGCUCGAUACUGACGCUGAGGUGCGAAAGUGUGGGGAGCAAACAGGAUUAGAUACCCUGGUAGGUGACAAU
rnacentral:rRNA from 1 species